AUUGAACGCUGGCGGCAGGCCUAACACAUGCAAGUCGAGCGGAUGAAGGGAGCUUGCUCCUGGAUUCAGCGGCGGACGGGUGAGUAAUGCCUAGGAAUCUGCCUGGUAGUGGGGGAUAACGUCCGGAAACGGGCGCUAAUACCGCAUACGUCCUGAGGGAGAAAGUGGGGGAUCUUCGGACCUCACGCUAUCAGAUGAGCCUAGGUCGGAUUAGCUAGUUGGGGGGGUAUAGGCCUACCAAGGCGACGAUCCGUAACUGGUCUGAGAGGAUGAUCAGUCACACUGGAACGGAGACACGGUCCAGACUCCUACGGGGGGCGGCGGUGGGGAAUUUUGGACAAUGGGCGAAAGCCUAAUCCAGCCAUGCCGCGUGUGUGAAGAAGGUCUUCGGAUUGUAAAGCACUUUAAGUUGGGAGGAAGGGCAGUAAGUUAAUACCUUGCUGUUUUGACGUUACCAACAGAAUAAGCACCGGCUAACUUCGUG
rnacentral:rRNA from 1 species